GCACCUCCCAAACAUCCCUGCCCUGACUUCCUCAGUGCUGGGCCAGGGUCAGGUGAAGUGCCAGAGAGAUGCAAAGUGUAUCCAGAUGGGCCUUUCUACUUCCAUUGGGGCUUGUCUCUACAACUUUGUAACAAAG